rnacentral:rRNA from 1 species
GACGUAGGGCGCGAGCGUUGUCCGGAUUUAUUGGGCGUAAAGAGCUCGUAGGCGGCUUGUCGCGUCGUCCGUGAAAACCUGGGGCUCAACUCCAGGCUUGCGGUCGAUACGGGCAGGCUCGAGUUCGGUAGGGGAGACUGGAAUUCCUGGUGUAGCGGUGAAAUGCGCAGAUAUCAGGAAGAACACCCGUGGCUAAGGCGGUUCUCUAGUACGGUACUGACGCUGAGACGCGAAAGCGUGGGGAGCGAACAGG